AGCAGAGCAACAUGUUUUGUAUGCUGUGGAUCAUCUUUCAGACAAUGGCUCACCUGGUGGCGGCUGGAGGACAGUCUUCAGGUAGUGGUGAGGGUGGUGGUGGUGGCGGCAAUGGAGGAGUUGUGAAUGGAGGCAUGGUCGGUAAUGCUGUUAACCCAGGGGUUAUGAAUGGGCUUGCCUUAAAUGGGCGACCCUUUCUGGCACAGG